rnacentral:rRNA from 1 species
UGCCGGACCAUGUCCAAGUCCCUUGGAACAGGGUAUCAAAGAGGGUGACAAUCCCGUACUUGACAUGACCACCGGUGCUCUGUGAUACACUUUCUACGAGUCGAGUUGUUUGGGAAUGCAGCUCAAAAUGGGUGGUAAAUUCCAUCUAAAGCUAAAUAUUGGCGAGAGACCGAUAGCGAACAAGUACCGUGAGGGAAAGAUGAAAAGCACUUUGGAAAGAGAGUUAAACAGUACGUGAAAUUGUUGAAAGGGAAACGAUUGAAGUCAGUCGUGUUCUUUGGACUCAGCCGGUUCUUCCGGUCUAUUUCCUUUGAACGGGUCAACAUCAGUUUUGUCCGGUGGAUAAAGGCA